rnacentral:rRNA from 1 species
CCUACGGGAGGCAGCAGUGAGGAAUAUUGGUCAAUGGACGAGAGUCUGAACCAGCCAAGUAGCGUGAAGGAUGACUGCCCUAUGGGUUGUAAACUUCUUUUAUAUGGGAAUAAAACGUUCCACGUGUGGGAUUUUGUAUGUACCAUAUGAAUAAGGAUCGGCCAACUCCGUGCCAGCAGCCGCGGUAAUACGGAGGAUCCGAGCGUUAUCCGGAUUUAUUGGGUUUAAAGGGAGCGUAGGUGGUUUGUUAAGUCAGGUGUGAAAGUGUGGGGCUCAACCGUAAAAUUGCAGUUGAAACUGGCAGUCUUGAGUAAAGGAGAGGUGAGCGGAAUGCGUGGUGUAGCGGUGAAAUGCUUAGAUAUCGCGAAGAACUCCGAUUGCGAAGGCAGUUCACUGGACUGCAACUGACGCUGAGGCACGAAAGUGUGGGUAUCGAACAGGAUUAGAUACCCCUGUAGUC